rnacentral:rRNA from 1 species
UACGUAGGUGGCAAGCGUUGUCCGGAUUUAUUGGGUUUAAAGGGCGCGUAGGCGGUCAGCACAAGUCAGUUGUGAAAUCCCCGGGCUUAACUCGGAAAGGUCAACUGAUACUGUGCGACUAGAGUGCGGAAGGGGCAACUGGAAUUCUCGGUGUAGCGGUGAAAUGCGUAGAUAUCGAGAGGAACACCUGCGGCGAAGGCGGGUUGCUGGGCCGACACUGACGCUGAUGCGCGAAAGCCAGGGGAGCGAACGGG